rnacentral:rRNA from 1 species
CAGUCGCCACGGUAAUACGGAGGGUGCAAGCGUUAUCCGGAUUCACUGGGUUUAAAGGGUGCGUAGGCGGAUCUGUAAGUCCGUGGUGAAAUCUCCAGGCUUAACCUGGAAACUGCCAUGGAUACUAUAGAUCUUGAAUGUUGUGGAGGUUAGCGGAAUAUGUCAUGUAGCGGUGAAAUGCAUAGAUAUGACAUAGAACACCAAUUGCGAAGGCAGCUGGCUACACAAAUAUUGACGCUGAGGCACGAAAGCGUGGGGAUCAAACAGGAUUAGAUACCCCCGUAGUCCCUGUCUCUUAUAC